rnacentral:lncRNA from 1 species
UAGAACACCUCCAGAUUAUCAGUAUAUAUUUGGAUCAAGAGCCAGAUUAGAUUAUAUUUAAUGAUUGUAUUAUUAGAUUGUUGUUAUUAUUAGAUUGUUAUUAGAUGUAGAUUGUAUUAUUUUUAAAAAUUUUUGCAAGAUCCAGAUUUUCAGAAUUGGGAUGGAUCAGGAUCAGAUUUGAAUCUGAAUCCUCUAAGGUAGUAAUUAUGUACUUUACUAUGCAUUAAAAUGGAAAACAGCAUAGAGAAGGGAAAAGCAUAUAAUAUUGGCGAUUUUUAUAAUGUUUGGAAUGAAUUAUCAUCAAAAACCAUUGAUAUAGUCUCUCUCUCUCAUUUAUGCUACUUUCCCAUCUCACUGGUGUUGGCUAGAUGGCCGUACGAUACAGCACUUGCUUAUUACUUUGGAAAAAUGGAUUCAAGUUUGGAUCCCACACACAUUCUCAGGAGAGAUUCAGGCCUUGUCCAUUGAAUUCCGUCUUUUUGUUUAAACCCAUCAUUGAUGGGUUUAAACAAAAGGAU